CAAAUUUACAUUUAUUUUCAUUUACAUUGAAAUUCUGAGAAUUAUCUCGAAUUUGA
rnacentral:tRNA from 1 species